rnacentral:rRNA from 1 species
UACGAAGGGGGCUAGCGUUGCUCGGAAUCACUGGGCGUAAAGGGCGCGUAGGCGGCCAUUCAAGUCGGAGGUGAAAGCCCAGGGCUCAACCCUGGAAUUGCCUUCGAUACUGUCUGGCUAGAGACCGGAAGAGGUAAGUGGAACUGCGAGUGUAGAGGUGAAAUUCGUAGAUAUUCGCAAGAAUACCAGUGGCGAAGGCGGCUUACUGGUCCGGUUCUGACGCUGAGGCGCGAAAGCGUGGGGAGCAAACAGG